CGGCAACAGCUCAAAUUUGAAAUCUGGCCCCUAGGGUCCGAGUUGUAAUUUGCAGAGGAUGCUUUUGACAAGGUGCCUUCCGAGUUCCCUGGAACGGGACGCCAUAGAGGGUGAGAAUCCCGUACGUGCCCGGUGGCCGCGCCCGUGUGAAGCUCUUUCGAC
rnacentral:rRNA from 1 species